UACAAAGNUAGAGGUCCGCUGCCUGUGACUAUAUGUUUAACGGCCGCGGUAUUUCGACGUGUGAAGGUAGCGCAAUCACUUGUCUCUUAAAUGGGGACCUGUAUGAGUAGGCAUAACGAGGGCUUAACUGUCUCCUCUUUCAAGUCAAUGAAAUUGAUCUCCCCGUGCAGAAGCGGGGAUAAGUACAUAAGACGAGAAGACCCUAUGGAGCUUUAGACACUAAAGCAGAUCAUUAUUAAUACCCUAAACACAGGACACGAAUAAACUGAACCCUGCCCUAAUGUCUUAGGUUGGGGCGACCGCGGAGUAAUAAAAAACCCCCGCAAGGACCGAAUGUACUACAUUCACAACCAAGAGCGACAGCUCUAAUUAACAGAUACUUCUGACCAAUAAGAUCCGGCAACGCCGAUCAAUGGACCAAGUUACCCAUAGGGAUAACAGCGCAAUCUCCUCUUAGAGCCCGUAUCAACAGAGGGGGUUUACGACCUCGAUGUUGGAUCAGGACAUCCUAAUGGUGCAGCCGCUAUUAAGGGUUCGNUUGUUCAACGAUUAAAGUCCUACGUGAUCUGAGUUCAA
rnacentral:rRNA from 1 species